rnacentral:rRNA from 1 species
CCUACGGGUGGCAGCAGUGAGGAAUAUUGGUCAAUGGGCGGAAGCCUGAACCAGCCAAGUCGCGUGAGGGAAUAAGGCCCUACGGGUUGUAAACCUCUUUUGCCGGGGAGCAAGGGCGGGGACGUGUCCCGGCGCGGAGAGUACCCGGAGAAAAAGCAUCGGCUAACUCCGUGCCAGCAGCCGCGGUAAUACGGAGGAUGCGAGCGUUAUCCGGAUUUAUUGGGUUUAAGGGGUGCGUAGGCGGGCUUUUAAGUCAGCGGUAAAAAUUCGGGGCUCAACCCCGUCCGGCCGUUGAAACUGGGGGCCUUGAGGGGGCGAGAAGAAGGCGGAAUGCGUGGUGUAGCGGUGAAAUGCAUAGAUAUCACGCAGAACCCCGAUUGCGAAGGCAGCCUUCCGGCGCCCUACUGACGCUGAGGCACGAAAGUGCGGGGAUCGAACAGGAUUAGAUACCCGAGUAGUC